GCGGGCAGAAACGGUGGGUGGCCUUUCCCGAGACCACGGACGCGAAGGAGCUAACAAAGGCGGCGUUCGCUCGGCUCGGGCGGAUUCCCGUUGUGGUCGGGUGCGUGGAUGGUACGCUCAUCGCAAUCCCGAAGCCCCAUGGCCUGAGCUCCGCGGACACGACGCAUUACAUGUCGGGGAAGGGACUACGCAUUCAACACCAUGAUCACAUGUGAUGCCGACCUCUGGAUGUCAGUCCAUGUUUCCUGGGGUCAUGUCAUGACUCGUGGGUAUGGCGGGGGAGCCCUCUCCGUCAGCACCUGGAAGCAAAACUUCGGCUUGCUUGGAGACUCCAGCUAUACAUUAGAACCGUGACUCCUGACACCAGUGCCCGGACGCCCAGCUCGUGGCAC